rnacentral:lncRNA from 1 species
CGGCCACUUCAUAGAUUGGGUAUCCAAGAUCUUCUGUUGUUAGGACAAUUCCAUUGGCAGCUGCUUCAUCGAUUCCUGUGUCAUUUCUUGCAGCUUCACACGAUGUGGAGUACAUCACUUCAUAGUGCUUGCAGCCAUCCUCCGAGAUCUCUACGUUACCCUCAGUCUGAGUCCCUGCCACAGCCGCCGGUUCGUGCCAUGAGUGCUCCGUGCCAUUGCUUGGCGGCGCCGCCUCGCCACCGCCCUGGGGACCCUCCUGCCACACCUUGGCGUUGGGGUUCAGGCCAGCUCCUUUGGAUGUUACCUGCUCCACGAACAGCAGCAUCGCGUCCCCCGCGCUCCGGCCGGCGGACCCGCGAUCCACGCCGCCCUCCCCGCUGCCCGGCGGCGGCCGCGCCAGCGCCGAGGACACCCGGGCUCCGCCUCCGGCUGCUGCCGCCAGGCCCGGCCCCCGUCUCCCACCGCCACCCGCUGCCUGCUU